AUUGAACGCUGGCGGCAGGCCUAAUACAUGCAAGUCGAGCGAGCGGCGGACGGGUGAGUAAUGUAUGGGGAUCUGCCCGAUCGAGGGGGAUAACUACUGGAACCGGUGGCUAAUACCGCAUACUACCCGAUCAACCCUUAUGGGAUUAGCUAGUAGUUGGGGUAAAGGCUCACAUAGGCGACGAUGUCUAGCUGGUCUGAGAGGAGGAUCAGCCACACUGGGACUGAGACACGGCCCAGACGCCUACGGGAGGCAGCAGUGGGGAAUAUUGGGCAAUGGGCGAAAGCCUGAUGCAGCCAUGCCGCGUGUAUGAAGAAGGCCUUAGGAUUGUAAAGUACUUUCAGCGGGGAGGCGUUACCCGCAGAAGAAGCACCGGCUAACUCCGUGCCAGCAGCCGCGGUAAUAC
rnacentral:rRNA from 1 species